rnacentral:rRNA from 1 species
GGGCCCGACGUCGCAUGCUCCCGGCCGCCAUGGCGGCCGCGGGAAUUCGAUUAGAGUUUGAUCAUGGCUCAGAUUGAACGCUGGCGGCAUGCCUUACACAUGCAAGUCGAACGGCAGCACGGGAGCAAUCCUGGUGGCGAGUGGCGAACGGGUGAGUAAUGUAUCGGAACGUACCUUUCAGUGGGGGAUAACGUAGCGAAAGUUACGCUAAUACCGCAUAUUCUGUGAGCAGGAAAGCAGGGGAUCGCAAGACCUUGCGCUGAUUGAGCGGCCGAUAUCAGAUUAGCUAGUUGGUGAGGUAAAGGCUCACCAAGGCGACGAUCUGUAGCGGGUCUGAGAGGAUGAUCCGCCACACUGGAACUGAGACACGGUCCAGACUCCUACGGGAGGCAGCAGUGGGGAAUUUUGGACAACGGGCGCAAGCCUGAUCCAGCCAUGCCGCGUGAGUGAAGAAGGCCUUCGGGUUGUAAAGCUCUUUCAGCCGGGAAGAAAACGCAUGGGUUAAUACCCUGUGUGGAUGACGGUACCGGAAUAAGAAGCACCGGCUAACUAUGUGCCAGCAGCCGCGGUAAUACGAAUCACUAGUGAAUUCGCGGCCGCCUGCAGGUCGACCAUA